GAUGAACGCUGGCGGCGUGCUUAACACAUGCAAGUCGAACGGAAAGGCCCAAGCUUGCUUGGGUACUCGAGUGGCGAACGGGUGAGUAACACGUGGGUGAUCUGCCCUGCACUUCGGGAUAAGCCUGGGAAACUGGGUCUAAUACCGGAUAGGACGAUGGUUUGGAUGCCAUUGUGGAAAGUUUUUUCGGUGUGGGAUGAGCUCGCGGCCUAUCAGCUUGUUGGUGGGGUAAUGGCCUCCCAAGGCGUCGACGGGUAGCCGGCCUGAGAGGGUGUACGGCCACAUUGGGACUGAGAUACGGCCCAGACUCCUACGGGAGGCAGCAGUGGGGAAUAUUGCACAAUGGGCGCAAGCCUGAUGCAGCGACGCCGCGUGGGGGAUGACGGCCUUCGGGUUGUAAACUCCUUUCGCUAGGGACGAAGCGUUUUUGUGACGGUACCUGGAGAAGAAGCACCGGCUAACUACGUG
rnacentral:rRNA from 1 species